GGAUCAUGGUUAUAUCAUAGAGAGAGGAACACAUGCCAGCUCCCUACUCUCUUGCUAGCCCCAUGCCAGGGAAACCAGGAUCUGCUUUUAUGUGCCUUGAACAAGUGUGGAAUCAAGGAGCUAAGCAACUUACAACACCUAACAUCUGCCUUGAGAUGGAGGAAGGAAUUAAAUAUCUCCAGAAUCGCAAAUUUUAUCCUGACACCUGGACCAGCAUUCCUCUGCCCGCCAUUAUGGACUGCAGGUAGCCGUUAGGUGAACUGGGGAAGGAAGGUCACCAUCAAAACCUGCUGAAAGGCAAAUAUUAACAGUAGUGCUUAGCUCCGUUUCAACUGCCUUAGAACAAACAGCCACUUCCCAAUGUGUAGAAAUAAUAACAUUAAAAUAAAUACUGCUCUGUGCUACCCUGGAGUCUAUGC
rnacentral:lncRNA from 1 species